rnacentral:sRNA from 1 species
UUUAUAAAAAAAUUUACUCUUUCGUUUGGUUAAAGUUAUGGCGCUACAUAAUCUACGUAACUUGUGUUUUGUUUUGGUAUUUUAAGAGAUAACAUUUGUUCGUUUGGAUGUCAUGGAAGAUUUUAGUUUUGUUUUAUCUUUUGUUUUGUAGAGUUCUUCUCGCUGAUCAUAUGAACUAACAGUUCUCCGUUUUAACAAUGAAGCUGUGAGAAACAGAGAAAGAGGGAAACAUAGAAGUACAAGGAAUGUCAAUUUUCCAACAAAUUUUAUUACCAUUGCGAGUGGUAAAUUUUCUGUCUAUUACCAUUUUCAAAGUUUCAAGGGUUGAAUUGAAUUCAUACGAUGUUUAGUUAACGUAUACAAGUGGCCCGUCCAAAAUAUUUGGAGGUCAAAGCAACAAUUUGUUUUUUUUUGGGUUAUUAUAAAACUUUGGGGACUUUUGAAACUAAAUAAUUUUGAGGCCUAUUUUCAAAUAUUUUUGCUGUAAAAAAAUUGGAAGUCACAUACCAUUGCUUCAUAUUGCUGUCCUCAAUGACGGCCCUGUGUAUACAUCAAAUAAUCAUCAACUUUUCGUGAGAAUCUUUAAUAGUAGUUUAAUUUAUCUUUCUUGAUAAUUUUGAUAUACACAUUUUUUUGUUAGCUCAGUUUUUUGUUGCAUGCAUGUUACCAUGUUUAUAUACACGCAUAUGAGGUAUGAUAUUCAACUAUUCAAAUCAAAGCUUAUACGUAUCAGAAGUUUAUUUGUUCUUCAUACAAUAUUGUUAUUUCAAGCUCCGAUCCAAUGAUUAUUUAUCUCUCUAAGUUUUUAUUGUCUAGGAAGUGUCCUCAGUCUAAGUUUUUGGAACCAAUGAUAAGUGUCUACUAUUUAUUUGACGUUUUCAUUUUAUAAAAUCUAUUUUGUUCAUCCCAACUUAUGUCUUUAGUUUUUGUUUUAUUUGUAGGGUUUGAUUCAAAUUUUUGGGACGAACAUACUCUACACUUAGAUGUAAUCCAAGAUCAUGGCAGUGAUAUUAGGAAACUUUUUGGAGAAGGAUGUGAUAAUACCAAAGCGAGAAGUAAUGAAAUGGAAAUCAAAGAGACAAAAUUGUUCGAGGAUAUGUGCAACAUUACAACGAUUUAGUAACACUUACAAACUUAAAGUUUAGUUUUAUUUCUCUGAUUUGAUUUGAAAAGGCUUUAGAGAUUGAUCAGAAUUCUUCAAAAGAAUUGUGGAAAAUAGCUCCUUAGUAUUUACCAAAAGUUUUGUCCCACAAAAAAAAAAAAACUCAUCAAAAUUCAUGUCUUUCUCAUAUAAAAAACUUAAAGUUGGUUGUAAAAAACUCAAACAUAAGUUCUUAGUUAAGACCAAAAAAGUUUUCUUAGAUCUCACAAAAAAGACCAAAAGUAAUUCAACUGAUGAAUUUAGAUAAAGUAAUUUGUCUUCUAAACCCAAGGCAUGUGUUCAUAAUUGACAUUAGGAUGAUUUUACGUCAUAUUUUGCUUAUUAUGCUUCAUAUGUUUAAUGGCUUACUUAUUUUAUAAUGAAGCAAGUAGAGAUUAACCAGACUAAACCAAGACUACAGUUCGAUAGAAAUGACAUGGAUGACGUGGUAUAGAGCCUAUAAUGAGCAUCGAGCUUAUACAAUGAUAUGCAUUCAUGUGUUAAUAUUUUCUUCAAGUUGUUAUAUUGUAACAUUUUAAUUUACAUUGAAUCAAAGAAAGACAAAACCCAUAAACACUAAUACGUAUCAAAUCAUUACAAAACAGGCAUAAUUAAUGGGAUUGGCAAAAUUAAUGGAAUUAUACAAUCAAUACCAAAUCAGAGGCGUUUUGAAAUUGAACUAAUCACCCACACCGUUAAGAAAACAACGUUGUUUUGUAAGCCUACAAUUAUUUAUAAGAAUUUUGAGAUUAUUCAUAGUUUAAGGUUAUUCAUGGAGAUUUUAGUCAUAUUUUAUUAUAUUAAACUACAAUUUUGAGAUGAAAUUUUUUUUAGCAUAAUUGUAAUUCAUUUAACUAAUUACAAAAUCAAAUUUUCAAUUUUGACAUCAUAUUAUGUUUUAGAUUACACGGUAAUAGUUCACUACUACAAUAAUUUUCCAAUUUUACAAGAAUUUUUUCCAUCUUUAUUUUUUAUACCAUAAUUUUAACUCCUUCAAUU